ensembl:lncRNA
UUCUCUGAAAGGGAGGUCAGACACUGGAAUGGGCUGCCCAGGUAGGUGGUGGAGUCACUGAGCCUGGUGGUGUUCAAAGAGCGUUUGGAUGUUGUGUUGAGGGACAUGGUUUAGUGAGAACCAUUGGUGAUGGCUGAAUGGUUGGACUGGAUGAUCCUGUGGGUCUUUUCCAACCUUAGCGAUUCUAUGAUUCUAUGAUUUGAUAAUGCCAUUAGAAAGAUCAAGGAUUGAUGAGUCCGGUAAGGAUAGGACAAAAAACAGUUCUGUUUUCUCUAUCCCUCCCUAUAAAACAAGCCUCUGUAGUCUUGGCUGGCAGCUGCCCUGGGCUCCAGCAUCUUUCUUCCUUUGUUAAGCUUGUGAAACUGUUGAGACACCUCCUGAUCAGUAAGUUAAGUGCCAGUAUGAAGAUGCAUGUUGUCCUUUGUUCAUUCUGUAUCUUUUAAUAGGUCAGCAUAUGGGCAAAAAAAAACCUUAUGAAAAUGGGAAUCAUUAAAAUGACUCUCCACAGAGGGAGGUGGGAGGCAAAGCAUUGAGGCCAGGCUCUUCUCGGUGGUGUGUAGCAAUAGAACAAGGAGUGAUGGUCUAAAACUUGAACGUAGGAUGUUCUGUACUAACAUUCAGAAGAACUUUUUUAUGAUAAGGGGGACAGAGCACUGGAACAGGCUGCCCGGAGAGAUGGUGAAGUCUCCUUCUCUGGAGAUAUUCAAGGCCUGUCUGGAUGCCUACCUGUGCGCAAUCUGUUGUAGGGAACCUGCUUUAGCACAGAAGUUGGACUUGAUCUCUUGAUGUCCCUUCCAACCCCUGCAAUUCUGGGAUUCUGUGAUAAUCUGUUCUUAUGGCCUUUUGGAGUAUCAGUCCUGGGUUCUGGUUUAUCUUGUGUUGCUGUGCUUUGGGUCUGCUAGCUGGCGCUGCUGACUAACCCACUGACUGUAAUGCUUUCGAAUCAUCACCCAGCUCCCUGGGGAUGUUCAGCUUGUACCCAAGCACUGGCAGCAAGAGCCAAGUGGGGCUUGGAGCGUGGGCACACAGCCCAGGUGCAAUACAGCUUCAUGGCAGCACAGAAAGUCUUCAAAUUCUCUCAGCUAUGCUUCCUUUUUUAAAAAAAUAUAUACAUGACUUAUUUAUUUAUUUGUACUCCCUUAGCAAAAAGGAAGAGCCAUCUAUCUUACCUGGAGUGUGAUUUCUGUUAGAGCCUUUAGCCUCGCUGGCCUUUUGAGUAUUUUAAUUGCUGGCAUUAAGAGUCUGCAAAUGUAAUGCAGAGAGUAGGAAUAAUUUAAACACUGCUUGCAUUCCACCCUCCACAGUAGGGAUGGGUGUUUUGUUUGGAGGAUUUUUUUCCUUUCUCAACUGCUGUACUAUUUGGCAAUUCAGAGCUUUUGCAUGCUUCACAAACACCAUCUGUUACAACCCAAGACACAAAUACUGCAAGUGAUUAGUAAUAUAAGCCAGUGUUGCAGCUGUAUGUGGUGUGGAAACCUGAUAGAACUAGACCUUCCUUUGUAAGCCUGACAUGCUGAAUAGCACAUUUGUGGUUUGUCUACUCUUUUGCAUUCAUCAAUUAAAGAUUAACUUUCUACUGCUAUGGAGACAUGUUGGAUUUAAAAUAAUAAAAAAAAGUCUG